ACAAUGAAGAGUUUGAUCCUGGCUCAGGAUGAACGCUAGCUACAGGCUUAACACAUGCAAGUCGAGGGGCAUCAGAAAGAAAGCUUGCUUUCUUUGCUGGCGACCGGCGCACGGGUGAGUAACACGUAUCCAACCUGCCCUUUACUCGGGGAUAGCCUUUCGAAAGAAAGAUUAAUACC
rnacentral:rRNA from 1 species